UACGUAGGGACCGAGCGUUGUCCGGAUUCAUUGGGCGUAAAGAGCUCGUAGGCGGCUGUUCAAGUCGAACGUGAAAACUCGGAGCUCAACUCCGAGCCUGCGUUCGAUACUGGACGGCUAGAGUCUGGUAGGGGGAUCUGGAAUUCCUGGUGUAGCGGUGGAAUGCGCAGAUAUCAGGAAGAACACCCGUGGCGAAAGCGGCUCUCUGGGACGGUACUGACGCUGAGACGCGAAAGCGUGGGGAGCGAACAGG
rnacentral:rRNA from 1 species